GCUGCUAAUAAACAAUAAAACUUUAUUUUAAAAGCUCCUGCCGACACUUUAUUUACAUCAACCAGGAAACAGUGAAAAAGUACAAACAGCCCAUAGAAAACUUUAUACACUGCAGAAAGUACACACAGCUGGACUCAGAACAAGUACUACUACUGCAGAGUACUGCACAGUACAAGUAGUACUGCAGUACUAUUGUGUUUGAUCGUCAGUUUCAGAAAACAAUCGAUUUCUUUAAAGAAUUUAAUUUUCCUCAUUAAAACACAUUUUUAAAAAAAGCUUCUUAAAUCAUCAGAAUUUUGAACAGAGUUUGGUUGGACCUCAGUGUGUAGUACUAGUACUACUACAGGAGUACAGUACUGUUACUGCAGAGUAUUAUAUACAGAUACUGCAGUGUUUCAACUGGUACUGCAUUAUUAUGUACAGGUGCUGCAGUAUUACACACAGGUACUGCAGUAAACCGUCUUCCUGUGUUCUGCUUUGGUGUGAGUGAGGAGAGGUGCAUGCUGGGACAUUUUAUGCGGUCACAUGAUCAACCCGGUGUCAGGAAGUAGAAACUACAUGUGAAAAACUGAUCAAUAAUCAACAGUGAUCUGAUCAAUAAUCAAUAGUAAUCUGAUCAAUAAUCAAUAGUGAACUGAUCAGUAAUCAAUAGUGAUUUGAUCAAUAAUAAAUAGUGACCUGAUCAAUAAUCAAUAGUGAUCUGAUCAUGUGACUGCAGGAGGUCGGACUGGUUUCCGUGAAGCUGAAGGUAAAAACAACACGGAUAAACACGGACAGGUUAUUGAUCCUGAUCGAUAAAUACAGGACAGGUGUGCUAAUCAAUAAAACGCUUCAUUCGUCGUGUAGAAAAUCAGUAGAAAAACACGAUCAAUUCAGUCGAUUGAUCACAAAACAAUCAACACUGUGACAUCAUGGCCUGAUUGUCGCCGCUCAAGUUUUAUGAAGCUCAACAACAACCGGACCUGCUCUUAUUGCUGCACCUGGUUCUGGAUCGGACCGAUCGGGUCCGGACUGGACCAACCAGUCUGGACUGGACCUGUUGGGUCUGGACCGGAUCGACCAGUCUGGACUGGACCAGUUGGGUCUGGACUGGACCGAUCAGGUCUGGACCAAUCAGUCAGGUUUGGACUGGACCAAUCAGUGUGGACUGGACUGAUCAGUCUGGACUGAACCAGUUGGGUCUGGACCGGAUCAAGCAGUCUGGACUGGACCGAUCAGGUCUGGACCAAUCAGUCUGGUCUGGACUGGACCAAUCAGUGUGGACUGGACCGAUCAGUCUGGAUUGGACCAGUUGGGUCUGGACUGGACCGGUUGGGUCUGAACUGAACUGAUCAGUCAGGUCUGGACUGGCCCGACCAGUCUGGACUGGACCAGUUAGGUCUGGACUGGACUGGUUGGGUCUGGACUGGACCGAACAGUCUGGAAUGCACCGAUCAGUCGGGUCUGGACCGGAUCGAUCAGUCAGGUCUGGACUGGACCAAUCAGUGUGGACUGGACCAAUCAGUCUGGACUGGACCAGCUGGGUCUGGACUGGACCAGUUGGGUCUGGACCGGACUGAUCAGUCUGGUCUGGACUGGACCAAUCAGUGUGGACUGGACCGAUCAGUCUGGACUGGACCAGUUGGGUCUGGACUGGACCGGUUGGGUCUGGACUGGACUGAUCAGUCAGGUCUGGACUGGCCCAACCAGUCUGGACUGGACCAGUUGGGUCUGGACUGGACCGGUUGGGUCUGGACUGGACUGAUCAGUCGGGUCUGGACCGGAUCGAUCAGUCAGGUCUGGACUGGACGGGUCAGGUCUGGACUGGACCGGUCGGAUCCGGACUGGAACGAUCAGUUCUGGACUGGACCGUUCGGGUCUGGACUGGACUGAUCAGCCGGGUCUGGACUGGACUGACCAGUCUGAACUGGACCGAUCAGUCGUGUCUGGACUGGACCGGUCGGGUCUGGACUGGACCGGCCUUUUUUCUAACCCAAACCCAAACCGACCAUAAAGUUCUGACUGCUUAGAUUCUCCCGAUAAUCAACGCAUCAGUUAAUCAAUAAACAAGAAGUGACCAGCUCAGAGCUGCUUCCUGCUGCUGGUUCUGGUGAACACCUGAAUGGUCCAAACCUCCUACAGCAGGAUGUUCUGACCCGUCCGGACCCUCAGAGCUCAGUCUGAUGGUUCUCCAGGUUCAUGGAGUUGGUCCGGUUUGUUGAACAGCUGAGAGUUGGGUAUCAGACGGGUUCUGGUUCUGAUCCUCCUCAGAGUCACACAUUAGUGGUUACUGCUUCCAUCGGACCCCCAGCAGGAGGUGCUACCUUUAACGUGGGCUCUAUCAGAAGGUCACUGAUUCAUCU
ensembl:lncRNA